AUAAAUAAACUGCUGUGUUGGAGAGACGACCAACUGUUCCCGCUCUUUUGUGUGGUUCAGCAGAACAUGCUUGAAUGGCUCGAUGGUUGUAGUUGCGUAGAAGAAGAAAUAAAUCAACUGCUGUGUUGGAGAGACGACCAACUGUUCCCGCUCUUUUGUGUGUUUCAGGUUGGUGAAAAAGAAGUAUUUUUAAGUACACCACGAUAUUUAGUAUAGUCAUGUAGAGUGACUUUUGUUGCCUCUGUAAUGUAUAUUAGUUGUUUAUGUGAGAAAAGAAAGUGUGUAUAUUCGCUAAUGCUAACAGGCCUAACGGUGAGAACCGAGGCCUGGCCGCCUUUAGCAUCCAUUUUAGGUGCAAGUGAAGUAGAUAGACAAAAGAAUGGGUGAAGGAACAAAACGGAUGUAUAUUUUUCUUAUAUAUAUUAUCUUAAUAUGCCUAUUUCCUGUCAAGUAGCAGAACAUGCUUGAAUGGCUCGAUGCUUGUAGUUGCGUAGAAGAAGAAAUAAAUAAACUGCUGUGUUGGAGAGACGACCAACUGUUCCCGCUCUUUUAUGUGUUUCAGGUUGGUGAAAAAGAAGUGUUUUUAAGUACACCACCAUAUGUAGUAUAGUCAUGUAGAGUGACUUUUGAUGACUCUGGAAUGUGUAUUAGUUGUUUAUGUGAGAAAAAAAGUCUGUGUAUAUACAUGUGUAUAUUCGCUAAUGCUAACAGGCCUAGCUGUGAGAACCGAGGCCUGGCCGCCUUUAGCAACCAUUUUAGGUGCAAGUGAAGUAGACAAAAGAAUGGGUGAAGGAACAAAAUGGAUGUAUAUUUUUCUUAUAUAUAUUAUCUUAAUAUGCCUAUUUCCUGUCAAGUAGCAGAACAUGCUUGAAUGGCUCGAUGCUUGUAGUUGUGUAGAAGAAGAAAUAAAUAAACUGCUGUGUUGGAGAGACGACCAACUGUUCCCGCUCUUUUGUGUGGUUCAGCAGAACAUGCUUGAAUGGCUCGAUGCUUGUAGUUGCGUAGAAGAAGAAAUAAAUGAACUGCUGUGUUGGAGAGACGACCAACUGUUCCCGCUCUUUUGUGUGUUUCAGGUUGGUGAAAAAGAAGUGUUUUUAAGUACACCACCAUAUGUAGUAUAGUCAUGUAGAGUGACUUUUGAUGCCUCUGUAAUGUAUAUUAGUUGUUUAUGUGAGAAAAGAAAGUGU